rnacentral:lncRNA from 1 species
UGAUUUUUAUAGUUCGUUCUUAUGUUGUACUGUUAUACCACUGUCCCAGGUUAGGGGGAGGUUUGGGAUCCCGCUAACAUGUUUAACCCCGCCACAUUAUUUAUAUAUGUGCCUGUCACAAGCCAGGAGCCUGUAAUUUAGUGGUUGUCGUUUGUUUAUGUGUUACAUAUUUGUUUUUCGUUCAUUUUUUUUUUUACAUAAAUAAGGCCGUUAGUUUUCUCGUUUGAAUUGUUUUACAUUGUCUUAUUGGGGCCUUUUAUAGCUGACUAUGCGGUAUGGGCUUUGCUCAUUGUUGAAGGCCGUACGGCGACCUAUAGUUGUUAAUGUCUGUGUCAUUUUGGUCUUUUGUGGAUAGUUGUCUCAUUGGCAAUCAUACCAUAUCUUCUUUUUUUAUAUUU